rnacentral:lncRNA from 1 species
CCGGGCCGAGCACUAGGGCAUGUAGCCACAUAAACUGGAGAAUAAUCUUAUAUAUCUUGGGGGACUUGAACCUCCCAACUAUAUAAUAAGGUGACUUAAGCUCCCGGACAUGUAAUGUAUUAUAGGUGCCAAAAAAUUCCCAAUAAACUAAUUAGGUGGACUCAAACAACCAUAUGAUAAGCAAGGGGACUCAAAACUUAAGCCAUUUAGACCCCCGCUAUGGUAAACACUGU